CCUACGGGAGGCAGCAGUGAGGAAUAUUGGUCAAUGGGCGAGAGCCUGAACCAGCCAAGUCGCGUGAGGGAGUACUGCCCUAUGGGUUGUAAACUUCUUUUAUAUGGGAAUAAAAUGUUCCACGUGUGGGAUUUUGUAUGUACCAUAUGAAUAAGGAUCGGCUAACUCCGUGCCAGCAGCCGCGGUAAUACGGAGGAUCCGAGCGUUAUCCGGAUUUAUUGGGUUUAAAGGGAGCGUAGGUGGAUUGUUAAGUCAGUUGUGAAAGUUUGCGGCUCAACCGUAAAAUUGCAGUUGAAACUGGCAGUCUUGAGUACAGUAGAGGUGGGCGGAAGUCGUGGUGUAGCGGUGAAAUGCUUAGAUAUCACGAAGAACUCCGAUUGCGAAGGCAGCUCACUGGACUGCAACUGACACUGAGGCUCGAAAGUGUGGGUAUCAAACAGGAUUAGAUACCCUAGUAGUC
rnacentral:rRNA from 1 species